UGUGCAUCAAAUCAAACACAAUGGUCAAAUCAAUCAUCAUUGCGCUACUUUGCCUGGCAGUGUUAUCUGUCAAUAUAGAAAUGAGCAAUGGAAUGGUCGUAAUGCGAGCGGCAAGCCAUGGUAAUAACAUGAAAGGAGCAAUAAAUGCUGCGAUGAAAUCGCAUGUAGCGCGACGUGCGGCUCAACCAUUAGCACAAGACGAAGAUGACACAAAUCCUCCGAAAAUGUUUAAAAUAACGGCAGCGUCACAAAGCAAUGCAGGAAUGGAAAUAUCUAUGUCAUCUAAAAAAUGAUUACUAUCAAAAUAGCGUCCACAGUCAGACAUUGCUUGCGGAAAGUAUUGCAAAAUAAUGAACAGGCAAUAUUCAUUACAGAUCUAUUAUUUUACAACACAAAGAUGAAGGUAUUGGAUUUCUCACUUAGCACUAUGGCGUAUCUUACGAUUGGUUGCGUGAACUAAAAGAACUUUUUCUUGUCUCGAUAAUUUUAGAGAAAUAAAAUUUAA